CGGCGUUCGCAUUCGCCGAGUCGGUCGGUGCGGCGUUAUGACUGGUCGCGGCGGUGCGCGACUGCGCGGUGCGGCGCGGAGCUCGGCUCGACAGCCACGGUGAUCAGCUGUUCGACGAUCAGCUGUUGUUAUCGUCGAGGAUCAUCCCGCGUGGAUGGUCCUCCGCGUCGGCGGUUUCCCCUCAGUACGGGGUCCCCGUGUGCAGUCGGGAUCGGUAGCUCAAUACGCGUACCGGGAUCCGGGUGUCGAGCGGGGCGGUGUUUUGCCACUCACAGCGUGGCGCGAGGAAGCGCUCAGUGCGCGCUAGUUAGGAAGCCGGUUUGAGGUUAAGUUUGGCACUCAGUGCGUGCUUUGGAUACUCAGCUCAAUUCGCUGAGAGGAUCGGUCGGCUCAGUACGCUAGACCGGGGAGAUCUGAUUCCUUAUCACCAGCGGAGGGCUUUUAUAGCCCCCGUUUGGUGACAAGAGGAGCGGAGAUGUGCGGGGAGACCGAGAUAAGCGGAGGGGACUACACGAGGAUUUCGAAAAGCGUUCUCGUGGAAUACCGGGAGUAAUCGGUGCCAUCGACGGUUGUCAUAUUCCGAUAAUGCAACCAUAUAAUAAUCCGACAGAUCAUUAUAACAGAAAAAGUUUUCAUAGUGUUAUUUUGCAAGCCGUAUAUGACAGCAAAAAACGAUUUAUAGACGUACACAUAGGCAUGCCAGGAAGAAUGCACGAUGCACGCGUUUUUCGAAAUAGCCCUCUUUAUCAAAACGACAUAAUUUAAUUCCGGAUAUGAAUCACUUAAUUGGUGACACGGCUUAUCCAUUGAGUAUAUAUAUAAUGGUACCAUAUAAAGACAAUGGUCACUUAACAAAUGAACAAAUUAUAUAUAACAAAAGAUUAAGCUCUAUUCGAUCGACAAUAGGACGAGCUUUUGGCUUGUUAAAAGGAAAGUUUCAAAAAUUAAAAUAUUUGGAAAUGUAUAACCUAAAUUUAGUUAAUUAUGCAAUUGCAUCUGCAUGCAUCUUACAUAACUUUAUAUUAACAGAAGAAGUUGAUUGCGAUAAAGAUUUUGAAGAAGAAAUAGAAAAUGACGAUAAUGAUGAAAUCAUUGAAAUCGAAAAUAAUCAGGAAGGAAUAAGAAAUCUAAUCGAGAAAGGCCAUGAGAAAAGAACUGCUAUUGUAGAAAUGCUAUCAUAAAAAAAUUAUAUGAAGAAAAUACACAAAAUAAAAUUGUGGCUGAAAUUCUAAUCGUGACCUUUGUUCAUCCACAUAUUGUAAUGCUAAGUUAGCAUCUGUGUAUAAAUAUAUAAUAAAGAAAUAUUUAAUAUA